rnacentral:lncRNA from 1 species
AAAUUGUUUGGUGUCCUGCCUGCCUGCAGUGUCUCAUCACCAGAGCAUGCCAGAGCCAACUCAAAGGACUCUGAAGGGAACAGAAUGGAAUUAUUAUAAACACAGGCCAAUUUGCCAAAUGCAAUCCUAAAAAUUAAAUGAGUCUGACAGUGGAGGAUGGAAAUCAGGAACACUGAUCAGUUUGGUUUUCCUCUAGCCCAGAUGGUAAAAUCACAGCAAUUAAGGUUGGUCUUCUAAGCUACAGAAGAGGACUGGUUGAGACUGGCCUUUCCCCAAAAGGAAUGGGAUGGACACAAAAGAACCACAGUUCUUCUACUGGUGAGAAAAACAAACUACCGUAAAGGAAAUAACACCUCAGUCUGAAAACCCUCAAGCUGCUUGGAUGGAGUAUGCUUGAGCCAGUGAGGUAGCUCCGGGGAGAAACUGCUUGGCCUAAGAGUCAGGAAGACCUGAGUGCAAAACCAAUCUCAGACACUUAUUAGCUGUAUGACCCAAGGCAAUAGUCACUUCAUUUCUGUUUGCCUCAGUUUCCCCAACUUUAAAAGGGGGACAAUAGCAGGUACCUCAUAGGGUUGUUGUGAGUAUCAAAUGAGAUUACAUUUGUAGAAAUUGCUUGAUACCAUUUCUGACACAGAGUAAGGACUAUAUAAAUUCUAAUUCCUUUCUUGAACUCCACCCUCCUGUAGAAAGAGCUUUUUGAAUUCUGUAGGCAGCAAGAUCCCAGCAUCAAGCCUUUUAGCAAAGACAGAAGACUGCCUGAGAAGAACCAUCUUUGAAAAUUUGUGAAUUCAACAGUUCAACUGCUAUGCCUGAUAAAUGAAGGUCAAAGACUUCUCUUCCCUGUUUUCCAUGCUUUUGGGUAAGGACUAUAUCCACACUGACAUAUCUGGGAAUAUUGCAUCUCUUGGAACCUCUAGGUCCAACUGGAACCCUGCUCUACCCCCGCCCCCAUAUACAAGAUGGAUGUUCUCCUGGUUCUGCUUAUUUCACUCUGCAUCAAUUACUACAGAUCUUUCCAGUGAAGCUACUCUUCUGGAGCCAAUUUCCCCUUAUUCAUCCUCAAGCCUUCUUGUGAAGCAUUGA